AGAUCCAAAAAAUUUAUGGCUAUCUUUGAACUGCCAUGGUGGCACAGCAAGAACCCUCUUAGAAAGGAGAGUCCAUACUCAGACUAAGUGUCUAUUCCAGUAAGAUCAAAGGUGAUUUUUCUUCCAUGAUGUAAGCUGUCCAGCAGAAUCAACUUGGCACUGUGGCCACUUUGCUCAUGAGCCCAUUGGGUGAUGACAGGGUGGCUGAGGAAAGAGGCUGAAUGGUAACCACAGAAGGGAUCAUCCUAUCCCUUUGAUUAUUAAAAUUCUCCUCUGCUGAAAUCACACUUGGGUGAGCAUUCACACAAGACACAAAUGGUUUGGUUUUUGUUUUGCCUAUUCAGAGAAGCAGAUCCACAUACUUCUUCCCCAAACCUCACUGUCACCAAUAUUGCAAUUGUGUUCCUUGUUAAAUCCCUAAACAACCAGGUUCACUGUCAUUCUCCAAGAUCUACCUGUCUUUCACAUACACCAAAAGAGUGAGUUGAAUGGGUUUGUGGGUGGGAAUCACCACCACUCCAGUAUCCCUCAGAUCCUUGAUGGUGGCACUAAUCUCUGCAAUCCCUCCAGGAACAGUGUUUCAUUUUUUGUUUUGUUAACUGUUCUGGUAGAGGCUGUUCUAGUGGCUUCCACCUGGCCUUUCCUACGAUGACAGCCCUCGGUCCAUAGAUCAGGGAACCAAUGUGCGAAUUGUCAGUUGCCGAGUAUGUCUAUUCCAAUUCUGCAACUGGGCAAAUAACCAUACGGUGACCUCAGGGAUCCACUGUAAGAUGGACCGAAGCUAAAACUUCAUUCAGAAAUGGUGAUCUUCAGAAAUCACUUCAGAACCAAUAUGCAGUAAUUUCUGAAAAGUAUGAUUAUCUUUACCCAUUGCACUGUAAUGACGCUGGCAAGCAGCUUUUAAUCUUUUGGGGGAAGGCUGAGAGAAAGAUUAACAAUAUCUGUGGUUGUUUUUGGCUCUCUGCUUCUCAGUUUCACGUGUCCUACAGAAAAAAGUUUCUUUGCGGGGGUGUGGGGGAUCAGGAGCGGCCAGCAGGAUAUUUUUAUUCCUCUGGAGGUCCCUUAAAGUGAUGAGAAGGGGCAAACAUCUCCCUCUAUGACUUUGCCAGGCCCCAGAAAUGAGGUUUCUACCUGAGCCUUAAAUCCACGGCCCGUUUCGGCACUACCCACCUGGUGUCUCCAGGCUCUCAGCCCAUCCCCAGCCGGCCCCGCCCCGCACCCUACUGACCAAUCCGAGGCUCCGAUCUGGGAGAGUCACAAUGGCGGCUUCGCAGCCCCGCCCAUGGUGUUCCCAUGGUGAUAGUAGGUAGCCAUUGUGUAUAGAGAGGCUCACUUUCCUGAGAGCAGGCAACCUCAGGCAUGGAGACCCGCACAGGUACCUUAGGAGCAGCACAGGCAUGUCUACUCAUGGAGUUCAUCAGACAGAGUGAGGGCCCUUGCCAGAAGAUGUGAUUCUGUUCCCCUGCACCCUGAAGACAAGGCAGUGCCAACACAUGAUGCAACGAUGUGUCCAUCUCCGUGGAUUCCUGAAACACAGACAGAAGACCUGGGUUCGAUCCUUAGGUCGGGAAGAUCCCCUGGAGAAGAAAAUGGCAAGCCAC